AUUUUUAUGAUAAACUCCUUGUUGAAUCAUGUUGCUCUUCUUAAGCCCCCGCUCCCCCAACUCAAUGUUGAGCUUGUGUCAUAGUAUAUUACCAAAAGUUGUUUCGGAGUUGUUCGCAACAUUGACUGGGGGGGGGGGGAGGGGGAGACAAAGUUUGUUUUGUCAAUGUUCAAGAAUGUUCUCAAGGGUUUUGUCCAAGAUUGUAGCUUUCAUUUUGAAAAAUAUAACAUGUGGGCCACGCGCUAUACCUGGCCAAUAGCGGGCUUAAUUAAGCAAGUGACGUUUUUGACAAUACGAGCGUUGACCGGAAGCAAAUUUGACGUUAUCAACCAAUCAACAUUCUUGACCCAGUCUUUUGACGUUACUCAUGCCGUUCGUGUUGUCAAAAACGUCGCUUGCUUAAGCUCGCUAAUAAGCAGCUCCCGUAGCCGGAUGACGUCAAAAAUCACGCGUAUAGGUGCACUUUUCCCUUUAGAAUCGAUUUCUGCCAUUUCCAGAGUCAUACGAUAGAAACGUUGCAUUGUUUUGACGUUUUGAAAUUGUAUUUCCGGUUGGGAUUAGCUUACAGUCGGACCAGAAAUGGAAAUAUCAUGAUAAAGAUGCAAAUUUGAAGAUAUAGGCUCGAAAGUGACACUCUAAAUAGUGUUUAUGUUCGGAG